GUAAACAACACAAUACUCACGCUACAAUUAGGGCUUGGGCGGUUUUUGCUAAUCGAUUUUCUCCAAUAUAACUUCAGAUUUUCAUCAUUUUGUGGCGGCGUAAUUGAUUUCUGCUAUUAGGCAACAACACAUCGUCAAUGGCGUAAUCGAUUUAUGUUGUUUGUUUGUUAGGCAACAAUUCGUCGGCGACGGCAAACCAUCGUCAUAUUCAGAUUAUUCAUAAAGUGAUGCAGAUGUGGGAUUAUGUUCGACAUGGACCAUAUGCUACCCCGAUACGUGAUGAUUGUCAAAUUUGAAAGAUCGAAAAAAUUGAACUGUUAAGCGUAUGUGAUGGAUAGAAAGAUAGAUGACGAUUUCAUGGUCUACGGAUGUUGGAAGCAAAAGAGUUGGGCAAAAAAGAUGGCAGCGACAAAAAAGAGAUGGAACAUAAAUGAUUGUAGAAGACAAAAGAGAACAAGGUUUUGUCAUAAGAUAUUUAUGGUUUGUCACUCGUAGUACAGUUUAAUUUUAGCUGUAGAUAUAGAAAUAUUGUAAAAUAAAUGAUCUUUUGUUUUAAUAAAUUUACACUUUGUGACA